rnacentral:rRNA from 1 species
UACGUAGGUGGUAAGCGUUGUCCGGAUUUACUGGGUGUAAAGGGGCGCAGGCGGGAAGCUAAGUUGGAUGUGAAAUACCGGGGCUCAACUCCGGAGCUGCAUCCAAAACUGGUUUUCUUGAGUGGAGUAGAGGCAAGCGGAAUUCCGAGUGUAGCGGUGAAAUGCGUAGAUAUUCGGAGGAACACCAGUGGCGAAGGCGGCUUGCUGGGCUCUAACUGACGCUGAGGCCCGAAAGCGUGGGGAGCAAACAGGAUUAGAUACCCUGGUAGUCCCUGA